rnacentral:lncRNA from 1 species
GAGUGUUGGCAUGAGUCAUUAUUCCUUUCUAUAUUUGUAGAGAUCCCUUAAUUCAAGGAAUCCUAUAAUUUAGCCAUACAUCAAGGCGUGUCCAAGGGCAACAUCCCUGUAAUCUAGCCGUGUGUCAAGGCAUGUCCAAGGUUAGCCAAAAAUCUUGUAUGUUUAUAUAUAACUCUUGUCUCCUGUAUGUAUUUUGAACAAUAACAAGGAUGAAUAUAAAAUAAAUUCAUUAUUUUAUCUUUUGACAGAGCCUAUGCAGACAGCAGUCUAACUAACCUAAGCAUAUCCAAAAGGGAUAUUGCUGUCCGAGAUGGGUGCUGCUUUUGUUGGCCGAAGUUUUUGAGGGACUCAAUCCUUAGCAUAAUCCACAAGGGAUGUUGCUGCUUGAUGGGGCGAAGCUAUCAUGCUUCCUUGAGGAACAGAUAAUAAACAAAUCACUCAAGAAUUGUUUGGACAUCUGUUUGAGGUUGUUCUUGGCUUAACAAAACGCCAUGCUGGAUUAAGCUCUUAACUUUCAGAAAAAGUUUGAUUACGGAUAU